rnacentral:rRNA from 1 species
UGGGGAAUAUUGCACAAUGGGGAAAACCUGAUGCAGCGACGCCGCGUGAAAGAAGAAGGGAUUCGUAUCGGAAAGGUCCGGCCUAUGGGAAGAAAAAGGCAGUACCCAAGAAGAAAACUCCCGCUAAAAACGUGCCAGCAACCGCGGGAAUACGUAUGGAGCGAGCGUUGUCCGGAAUUAUUGGGCGUAAAAGGGACGCAGGCGGUUUAAUAAGUCGAAUGUUAAAGAUCGGGGCUCAACCCCGUAAAGCAUUGGAAACUGAUAAACUUGAGUAGUGGAGAGGAAAGUGGAAUUCCUAGUGUAGUGGUGAAAUACGUAGAUAUUAGGAGGAAUACCAGUAGCGAAGGCGACUUUCUGGACACAAACUGACGCUGAGGUACGAAAGCGUGGGGAGCAAACAGG